ACGUAGGGACCAAGCGUUGUUCGGAUUUACUGGGCGUAAAGGGCGCGUAGGCGGCAUGACAAGUCACUUGUGAAAUCUCUGGGCUUAACCCAGAACGGCCAAGUGAUACUGUCGCGCUAGAGUGCGGAAGGGGCAAUCGGAAUUCUCGGUGUAGCGGUGAAAUGCGUAGAUAUCAGGAGGAACACCGGUGGCGAAGGCGCUCAUCUGGCCCAAUACUGACGCUGAGGCGCGAAAGCUAGGGGAGCAAACGGGA
rnacentral:rRNA from 1 species